rnacentral:misc_RNA from 1 species
AAAAAAAAAAAAAAAAAAAUUCUCCCUUUCAUUCAUUUUUUAGUUUUAGCUUCCCAUACACAAGUAGUUAAAUAUUUUCUCCUCCAUUUCCAUCUCCCUUCUUUCCCUCCCUCCAAAAUACAUUCCUCUUUCCUAUCUCCCCUUAUAGCCAUGCAUGGUGUUAAGGAACAAAUAAAAAAUUUUGCAUCAUUUAGUACCAUGAGAUUUCAUCUAUUGUCACUUUAUUACCAUUUGAACUAAGAUCAUUAUAAUGAUAUUUAGAUAAUAUUCCUAUAGCAUAAGAUAACUCAUUAUAUGAAAUAAAAAGUUUUAUUGAUGUUACCUGAAAUAUGUCUGGGAAAAAAAAUAGAACUUUUUUUCGCCACAGCAAAAUCUUAUCUUAAGAAUAGGGGGAAAAAGGAAAAAAAAAAAAUUAAUGUAGCACUAAUUUGAUGUCAUAUGACUAUCGUAAAGACAUCAUAUGGAUAACACUCAAGUCUAAUUGUCAUUUUAUGAGAUUUGGGGUUUAACGAUAUCAGCAUAUAAAGGUACUAAAGUGAUAAUGAAUAACCUUGUGAACUAAAACAACACUAAAAAAGAAAAUUCAAUCCUCAAAUAUCAAAGGACCAAACCAUAGGAUUUUUGUUUUUUUUUACACCAUAAUAAAAUUUUAUCUUAAAGGUAGGGAGGAAAAUUUAGCUUUGGUGUCAUAUAACAAUCAUAAUGAUAUCAUAUGGAUAAUACUCAAGUCUGAUAGUCAUUUUAGUAGACUUGGGCACCACAUAUGUAUGGUUUUAAUGAUAUCAGCAUAUAAG